AUUGAACGCUGGCGGCAGGCCUAACACAUGCAAGUCGAACGAGUGGCGGACGGGUGAGUAAUGUCUGGGAAACUGCCCGAUGGAGGGGGAUAACUACUGGAAACGGUAGCUAAUACCGCAUACCAUCGGAUGUGCCCAGAUGGGAUUAGCUAGUAGGUGGGGUAAAGGCUCACCUAGGCGACGAUCCCUAGCUGGUCUGAGGGGAGGACCAGCAACACUGGAACUGAGAAAGGGGCCAGAGCCCAAAGGGAGGGAGCAGUGGGGAACAUUGCACAAUGGGCGGAAGCCGGAUGCAGCCAUGCCGAGUGUAGGAAGAAGGCCUUCGGGUUGUAAAGUACUUUCAGCGGGGAGGCGUUACCCGCAGAAGAAGCACCGGCUAACUCCGUGCCAGCAGCCGCGGAAUUC
rnacentral:rRNA from 1 species